rnacentral:rRNA from 1 species
CGUAGGUAACCUACCUCUUAGCGGGGGAUAACUAUUGGAAACGAUAGCUAGUACCGCAUAAAAGUCGGCAUUGCAUGAUGUUGACUUGAAAGGUGCAACUGCAUCACUAAGAGAUGGACCUGCGUUGUAUUAGCUAGUUGGUGAGGUAACGGCUCACCAAGGCGACGAUACAUAGCCGACCUGAGAGGGUGAUCGGCCACACUGGGACUGAGACACGGCCCAG